GCCCUCGUGGCGGAAUUGGCAGACGCGCCAGCUUCAGGAGCUGGUGCCCUUCGGGGCGUGCUGGUUCAACUCCAGCCGGGGGCA
rnacentral:tRNA from 1 species